rnacentral:rRNA from 1 species
GCCCAGACUCCUACGGGAGGCAGCAGUGGGGAAUAUUGGGCAAUGGGGGAAACCCUGACCCAGCAACGCCGCGUGAAGGAAGAAGGCUUUCGGGUUGUAAACUUCUUUUACCAGGGACGAAGAAAGUGACGGUACCUGGAGAAAAAGCUCCGGCUAACUACGUGCCAGCAGCCGCGGUAAUACGGAGGAUGCGAGCGUUAUCCGGAUUUAUUGGGUUUAAAGGGUGCGCAGGCGGCACGGCAAGCCGGCGGUCAAAUCGCGGGGCUCAACCCCGCCCAGCCGUCGGAACUGGGUGCCUUGAGUGGGCGAGAAGUAUGCGGAAUGCGUGGUGUAGCGGUGAAAUGCAUAGAUAUCACGCAGAACCCCGAUUGCGAAGGCAGCAUACCGGCGCCCUACUGACGCUGAGGCACGAAAGUGCGGGUAUCGAACAGGAUUAGAUACCCCUGUA